rnacentral:rRNA from 1 species
GACAGAGGGUGCAAACGUUGUUCGGAUUUACUGGGCGUAAAGCGUGUGUAGGCGGCUUGGCAAGUUGGAUGUGAAAGCCCACGGCUCAACCGUGGAAGCGCACCCAAAACUGCUUCGCUCGAGUCUCGGAGAGGAAGGUGGAAUGCUUGGUGUAGAGGUGAAAUUCGUAGAUAUCAGGAGGGACACCGGUGGCGAAGGCGGGUCUCUGGGCCGAUACUGACGCUGAGGAGCGAAAGCGUGGGGAGCGAACAGG